AUGGUGAAGGUUGCUGGCAGCGGCGGGCGCCGUCGCAGGACACUCUCUGACCUGCAGAAAUCCUCCUCUAGCUCCCGCACCUGCUACGGCUCCAACCACAACGCCAGCAGCCCGCUGCCUGUGUCUCCGUCGCUGCCAUCGACGCCCCAGCAGGCGGAGCUCCUCCGGGCCCAGGUCGUCGUAGUAGUCGUCAUCUUCAUGCCAACAGAACCGAUCGCAGCUCCGUGUUUUGGCGCGCUGUUUUUCUUUGGCGCGCUGGUGGAUGAAAUCAACAACUUAAUUAAAUGUGCGUGCCCGGGCGCCGUGGUUUGCUGCAACGCAGAACUGCUACCAUCGAGAAGCGAUGAUUGCAGCUCUUGCAACGUUGCACUCCUAUAUGCCAACAGAAGAUCUAUAAGUGGUCAUCUAGAAAUAUAA
rnacentral:rRNA from 1 species